rnacentral:rRNA from 1 species
AGAGACAGCAGUAGCCGCGGGAAUACAGAGGGUGCGAGCGUUAAUCGGAUUUACUGGGCGUAAAGCGUGCGUAGGCGGCUUCUUAAGUCGGAUGUGAAAUCCCUGAGCUUAACUUAGGAAUUGCAUUCGAUACUGGGAAGCUAGAGUAUGGGAGAGGAUGGUAGAAUUCCGGGUGUAGCGGUGAAAUGCGUAGAGAUCUGGAGGAAUACCGAUGGCGAAGGCAGCCAUCUGGCCUAAUACUGACGCUGAGGUACGAAAGCAUGGGGAGCAAACAGGAUUAGAUACCGUGUAGUCCCUGUCUCUUAUACA